CAGAAUUAUAUGGUUUUGAUUUAUAAUCACUGUAUCAAACUGUGUUUAGAGUAUCUGAAAUCAGUUUAAAUCAGAGGUUUUGUUCUGAAUCUGCUGAUUGGAGAACAGUACAGGACAUCGCUUUAUUAUACGGAGAAUGGGACGAGUUAUUCUACGUCAUGAAGGAGGAGGAGGAGGAGACGAGACUGCGUAGCUUUUCGGAAGCUGCUUCCGCAGUUUCGAGACAGACAGAGCGACGCUGGCUGGAGAGCAGAGCUCCACUACUGACCUGAGUUCACUAUUCACAAUAAUGAAUAGCUAUUGUUGGAAAUGCAAACAAUUCAUUUAUUUCUUUAAAACAAUUACUAUAGACUCUGUAUGAUGGAUGUUUUCUGAUGGGCUCUGUAUGAUGGAGGUCAGAUAAGGUGGUGGAGUUGUGAGAGGUGCUCGUGUUGCGGAGCGGAGUGGAGUUCCAGGAAGUUCAGCAGUAAGAAUGAAGGACCAGCAGAACUGGUAUUCAGGAAAUCCCCAGUGCAUCAUACUGAUCUAUAGAACCACAGUAUCUGAGCAUCACUCUGAACUCCAGUUAAUCCAGUAUGGAGGGUUACAGUGUUUCCCUCCAGCUCCUGCAGUUUAACCACCUCUUCUCCAGCUGUGAACAGCACACCUGAAACAGUGUUGUGUAAAUCCCUCUCUGAAGCCCCUGUUCAAAACUAAAUCCAGAAAACCUGCUUAAAGGUGAGAUCCAGCUUCUGUCUCAGAUCCUGAAACUACUAUACAAAUUCUAAUAACACUCAUUUACUGAUCCUGCUGUUCUUCCAUUAGCUCCUUUAUUAUGUUCUAGAACCCACUAAACUCAGUUUAAUGCUCUUAAAUGUUUAAAAACUACCCCAAAAAACCUUCAGUAGAAAGAUUCAGUGCUUCUUCACAAUAAGAAAACAUCAUUAAAACCCUACAGUCCUUCUCUACUGUAGGUAAACACACAUUAACACACGAUAUUUACAUUAAAUUCAGUCAGAAUUCGGACUGAACGCGUGUGUGAUCAUUAUCAUAAUUCCAGGAAAAGCAGACUUACAGUGAAUCAGGCUGAAAACAGCUCCAGUAAUCCUGAAUAUGAACAUCUUAAUGUGCCAUUUUUAACAGUAAUCUAUGUAUCAACAGUCUGAACACUGCAGUGAGUCCUCUCAGCUUCACACUGAGGAUAAAAUUACAGAUUAUUCUCUCGCUCUGGGCUGGACAAGACUGGGCAUGCGCAUUC